AUUGAACGCUGGCGGCAUGCCUAACACAUGCAAGUCGAACGGUAACGCGGGGGCAACCCUGGCGACGAGUGGCGGACGGGUGAGUAAUACAUCGGAACGUGCCCAGUAGUGGGGGAUAGCCCGGCGAAAGCCGGAUUAAUACCGCAUACGACCUACGGGUGAAAGCGGGGGAUCGCAAGACCUCGCGCUAUUGGAGCGGCCGAUGUCAGAUUAGCUAGUUGGUGGGGUAAAAGCCUACCAAGGCGACGAUCUGUAGCUGGUCUGAGAGGACGACCAGCCACACUGGGACUGAGACACGGCCCAGACUCCUACGGAGGCAGCAGUGGGAAUUUUGGACAAUGGGGGCAACCCUGAUCCAGCCAUGCCGCGUGCGGGAAGAAGGCCUGG
rnacentral:rRNA from 1 species